UGAGAUGAUUCUAAUAAAACACCAAGGGUGAA
rnacentral:piRNA from 2 species